GACGAACCGAGCGAACGUUAUUCGGAAUCACUGGGCUUAAAGGGUGCGUAGGCGGGCGAGUAAGUCAGGGGUGAAAUCCCACGGCCCAACCGUGGAAGUGCCUCUGAUACUGCGAGUCUAGAGGGAAAUAGGGGCGUGCGGAACUUCCGGUGGAGCGGUGAAAUGCGUAGAUAUCGGAAGGAACACCGGUGGCGAAAGCGGCGCGCUGGAUUUCUACUGACGCUGAGGCACGAAAGCCAGGGGAGCAAACGGG
rnacentral:rRNA from 1 species